rnacentral:rRNA from 1 species
AUAUCAAUAAGCGCAGGAAAAGAAACCAACAGGGAUUACCUCAGUAACGGCGAGUGAAGCGGUAAUAGCUCAAAUUUGAAAUCUGGCCUCUCGGGGUCCGAGUUGUAAUUUGUAGAGGAUGUUUUGGGUACCGCCCCGGUCUAAAUUUCUUGGAACAGAAUGUCAAAGAGGGUGAGAAUCCCGUCUUGGACCGGCGGUAGGGCCUGUGUAAAACUCCUUCGACGAGUCGAGUUGUUUGGGAAUGCAGCUCAAAAUGGGUGGUAAAUUUCAUCUAAAGCUAAAUAUUGGCCAGAGACCGAUAGCGCACAAGUAGAGUGAUCGAAAGAUGAAAAGCACUUUGAAAAGAGAGUUAAACAGUAUGUGAAAUUGUUGAAAGGGAAGCGCUUGCAACCAGACUUGAGCGCGGCGGUUCCCCCGGUCUUUUGGCCGGGCUACUCCGUCGUGUCCAGGCCAACAUCGGUUCUGAGGGUCGGUCAAAGGCCUUGGGAAUGUAGCUUCUUUCGAGGAGUGUUAUAGCCCCUGGUGCAAUGCAAUCAGUCUGGACUGAGGACCGCGCUUCGGCUAGGAUGCUGGCGUAAUGGUUGUAAGCGA